GAACGCUGGCGGCAUGCUUUACACAUGCAAGUCGAACGGUAACAGGUCUUCGGAUGCUGACGAGUGGCGAACGGGUGAGUAAUGUAUCGGAACGUGCCCAGUAGGUGGGGGAUAACUACUCGAAAGAGUGGCUAAUACCGCAUGAGAACUGAGGUUGAAAGCGGGGGACCUUCGGGCCUCGCGCUACUGGAGCGGCCGAUAUCAGAUUAGGUAGUUGGUGGGGUAAAGGCCUACCAAGCCGACGAUCUGUAGCUGGUCUGAGAGGACGACCAGCCACACUGGGACUGAGACACGGCCCAGACUCCUACGGGAGGCAGCAGUGGGGAAUUUUUGGACAAUGGGCGCAAGCCUGAUCCAGCAAUGCCGCGUGAGUGAAGAAGGCCUUCGGGUUGUAAAGCUCUUUCAGUUGAGAAGAAAAGAUUGUAACUAAUAAUUACAGUUCAUGACGGUAUCAACAGAAGAAGCACCGGCUAACUACGUG
rnacentral:rRNA from 1 species